UGAGAUUCCUAUAAUUUACAUGACCCUAAAAUGAAUCACUUGAUUAACAUUCUAUUUGGCAUGACUUCAACUUCAAACUUUAGCCUGAAGUUGAGUGAAGCUAGCUAAACAUCCCAACUCCACUAAUUUGUGGAGCAACCCAAUUCUAUGGAGUUCUAAUUCAUUUCUUUGGAGCAACUCUUUUACAACUCCAGAAAUCUCCAAUACGAACAUAAACGUGGGGUUGGUGGUACCGGUUACAUGAAGAACGGUUCGUUUUGUUUCUGUUCUGUCCAUCCUGGCCUCCGAGUCCCUCCGCCGUCUCUCCGUGCCACCGCCCCCUCUCCCACGUGGCACCGCCGGCGCCGUCUCCUCGUGCCGCGAGAAGGCCUCAGCCCGCCGCCGUCGUUUGGCAUCUCUUCCGACACCUUCUUCCCUCCCGCGCGCCGCCUGGCGGGCUCUUCCCCGCCGCCGCCGCCUCAUUCGCCGGCCGGGAGCAGCGAGAAUCGUCGUCCCUCUUUCUUUCCCGUCUUCCUCCCAUCUCCCCGGCGCUCCCCUCUUGAAUCCCGAUGCCUCCCAACACACCUCUCGCCGGGAGCCGCUGGACGGGCACACCGUGCCGCGCGUUCGCCCGUGUGGUCGCCAUGGCCCCGUUGGGCGCGCCGCCGGCCGGCCGCUGCCCCCAUCCUGCGCGGCCGCCUACACCGUCCCGCGUAGCCGCCGUGGCCCCGUUGGGCACGCCGCCGGCCCGGCCGCUGCCCCCAUCCUACGCGGCCACCGCUUCCUCAUCCUGCGUGGCUGCCACAGUCGUGCUCCGCCGCGCCACCACGAUUGCGUCCCGAAUGCCGCCGGCCCCGUCCUUGCGUCGCUGCUAUUCACCCGCUCAAGCUCCUGUGGCCUCUUGAGGAAGAAGAAGAUAAGGUAUGACCGAAUGAUAAGUGACAAUCCAUCCAAAAAGACCCUCCUUUUGGAGCUGGAGGCACCAACCACCCUAUUUUAACAGCUCCAACUCUCAGGUGAAGUUUGGAGUUAGAGCGAAAAAUUGUGAAGUUGGAGGCCAUAUGCCAAACGGAGCCUUGUCGUGAUCAGAUUGAUUUCAUUUAGCCCCUCGUUAGUUUAAAAUCUGCUGCUCCUCCGCCCGUCCACCGCCGCCGCCGCCGUCCUCGACCACCAAUCCCCGGCCCAGUUCCUAGCACCAUUCCGCACCAAUCUCUCCACCCGCAGCAAGAAUGGAGGGCGGCACGCGGUUCGCCGCCGCAUCCGGGCCGCGCGUUGGGAGCCGCCGGACAUGGCGGCAACCGCGACUGCGAUCGCGGUAAGGGCACCCAGCCAGGUACCGAGCUCGAAGCGAUUGCUCAGGCUUUCAUGGAUUGAUGGUGGACCUCUAUCCCACCUCUGCCACCCCCGGACUCCGAGCGAGGGCAGAACGCGAUGGCGUUGGCUUCGGCUCGCGCGGGAGGGGCGCGUGGAGGGCGCCACCGCGUCUCCCCGCCUGACUGCAGACAGAAGACGGCGUGCUGACUCCGUACAGAUGAAAGAUAAACAUAUUAAAACACUCAAUAUCAAGUCUGAUGCUGGCUGGAUUUGAGGAUGGGUGGUCCCUUCUCGUGUGAUCCUUCUGGAAGAGACAGAAGAUAAUGAACCCAAUUCUCCAAAAGAAGUCGAACAACUGCAAUAGUGGCGAUCUGACUCUGUGAGUAGCCUAUUUAGGUCUUGAUAUUCUUUUUUUGCAAUUUGUUUUGGACAUCCUCUUCUUCAAUUUCGAAAGAGCAUCUUCAGUUACGAACUGUGAUAUAGUCAUUUGUGUGGGUUUGUGAAUCUGGGAUAUAAUUUUUGUGCUAUUGUCCCUUGAUUCACUGGUCACAUGCUUGUAUUCACUGAAAUUGUUCUAUACAUUAGGCUAUUGUACAUGAAGCCUUUCCAGGAUCCAAUUUGUUAGCAAUUUGGCACAUACAUGAAGUUUAAUAUUGAAUGUUAUUUGUAAUCUA